CUGAGAAAGGUGGUGUUUUAGACGGAAGGACCUGCCCACUGGGAUGGCAUUCGCCCAGGGACCCCUGAGUCACCUGGGAGAGCAAGUGAGGGCCUAUCCUGUUGGGAAAUGAAAUUCUCAGAGACUUACAUAGUUGUAGGGAAAAUAAAUACUGGUCCCUGCCAUUGUAUAAAUGUGAAAGAAAGAAUGGAGAAAACACCCACAUGACAGAAACUGAGAAAUGCCAUGGGAGCUGGAUAACGUGUCCUCACAGCUCAUUUAUAUGUAACCUAGUCACUAACAAGAUUCUGAAUGUUGUUCUGAAUCAACCUGUACAGUUCUAAAAGUUCAGAUUAUGACCUGGGAGUCCGGAUCAGAAUCUCUCUGGUUGGUGUCAAAGGACAACUCUUCUCUUAAUUCACACUCUUCCUGGUUUCUGGUGAGCUGGCUGCAGGUGUAUCUUGCCACGAUGCAAUCUACCAGAAGUAAUGCCGUCCUGUUAUGUAGGCCUGAGCUCAUCUUAGAUGACCUUCCUCCAAAGUUGGAUAAUCAAGUUCAACUAUUUGAGAUUAUUUUUUAACCAACAUAAAACUGCACAUGAGCCAGGCGUGGUGGCACACACCUAUAAUCCCAGUGACUCAAGAGGCUGAGGCAGGUGGAUUGCAAGUUUGAGGUUAACCUCAGUAACUUGGUGAGAACCUGUCUCAAAAAAAAGGCACUGGGGAUGUGGCUCAGUGGUAAAGUGCCUCUGGUUUGGAUCCUGAGUACGAAAAAGGGGGAAAAAAACAUGAAAUAUCUGCAUCCAAAUAAGUGUCUCCUGAUCUAUAUGCAUAACGUCAUUUAUCUAUUCAAUAAAUAUUGACAAACUGUGAUGCUUUGUACAGGCCUCUGCAUCACAACUGAUGUUAACCAUAAAAAGUGAGGGAAAAAGUUCUGAUUUUAGCUCAGAUUCAUCCUGAGAAAAGAAGGAACAGUACAUAGAGAUCCUGAGGGAACACCAAGAAGGGUGCAAUGCUAGGCUCAGGUGAGACAGACAUUGUAUAGGUGUGAACACAUAGGUAUUCAACCCUGGAGCAUGCAUCAGACUUCAUUUUUCCCUAUAAGGUGACUUUGUUAGAGCAGGUGACGGAUUCCCCAG
rnacentral:lncRNA from 1 species